rnacentral:rRNA from 1 species
CGUAGGCGGUUUGUUAAGUCGGAUGUGAAAGCCCCGGGCUCAACCUGGGAACUGCAUUCGAUACUGGCAGGCUAGAGUAUGGUAGAGGGAAGUGGAAUUCCGGGUGUAGCGGUGAAAUGCGUAGAUAUCCGGAGGAACAUCAGUGGCGAAGGCGGCUUCCUGGACCAAUACUGACGCUGAGGUGCGAAAGCGUGGGGAGCAAACA